rnacentral:rRNA from 1 species
GAUGAACGCUGGCGGCGUGCCUAAUACAUGCAAGUCGAACGAAGAGCGAUGGAAGCUUGCUUCUAUCAAUCUUAGUGGCGAACGGGUGAGUAACGCGUAAUCAACCUGCCCUUCAGAGGGGGACAACAGUUGGAAACGACUGCUAAUACCGCAUACGAUCCAAUCUCGGCAUCGAGACUGGAUGAAAGGUGGCCUCUAUUUAUAAGCUAUCACUGAAGGAGGGGAUUGCGUCUGAUUAGCUAGUUGGAGGGGUAACGGCCCACCAAGGCGAUGAUCAGUAGCCGGUCUGAGAGGAUGAACGGCCACAUUGGGACUGAGACACGGCCCAGACUCCUACGGGAGGCAGCAGUGGGGAAUCUUCCGCAAUGGACGAAAGUCUGACGGAGCAACGCCGCGUGAGUGAUGACGGCCUUCGGGUUGUAAAGCUCUGUUAAUCGGGACGAAUGGUUCUUGUGCGAAUAGUGCGAGGAUUUGACGGUACCGGAAUAGAAAGCCACGGCUAA